GGAGAGGUGUCCGAGUGGCUUAAGGAGCACGCCUGGAAAGUGUGUAUACGUUAAUAGCGUAUCGAGGGUUCGAAUCCCUCCCUCUCCGCCA
rnacentral:tRNA from 1 species